GUUAUCAAGAAAGGUGAAGGGAUUAGACCCGAUGAAGCCUUAGCAACCCUUUAGAAAUAAAGAAGGUGCUAAAUUCUACUCAACUAUUUAUAGUUGGAUAGAUAA
rnacentral:ncRNA from 1 species